AACGAACGCUGGCGGCAGGCUUAACACAUGCAAGUCGAACGCCCCGCAAGGGGAGUGGCAGACGGGAGAGUAACGCGUGGGAAACUACCCAAUACUACGGAAUAGCUCCGGGAAACUGGAAUUAAUACCGUAUGUGCCCUACGGGGGAAAGAUUUAUCGGUAUUGGAUGAGCCCGCGUUGGAUUAGCUAGUUGGUGGGGUAAUGGCCUACCAAGGCGACGAUCCAUAGCUGAGCUGAGAGGAUGAUCAGCCACACUGGGACUGAGACACGGCCCAGACUUCUACGGGAGGCAGCAGUGUGGAAUAUUGGACAAUGGGCGAUAGCCUAAUCCAGCCAUGCCGCGUGAGUGAGUAAGGCCUUAGGGUUGUAAAGCUCUUUCACCGGAGAAGAUAAUGACGGUAUCCGGAGAAGAAGCCCCGGCUAACUUCGUGCCAGCCGCCGCAGUAACAC
rnacentral:rRNA from 1 species